UCAGCCGCCGCGGUAAUACCAGCACCCCGAGUGGUCGGGACGAUUAUUGGGCCUAAAGCAUCCGUAGCCGGUACUGCAAGUCUUCCGUUAAAUCCACCUGCUCAACAGUUGGGCUGCGGGGGAUACUACAGCGCUAGGAGGCGGGAGAGGCAAGCGGUACUCAAUGGGUAGGGGUAAAAUCCGCUGAUCCAUUGAAGACCACCAGUGGCGAAGGCGGCUUGCCAGAACGCGCUCGACGGUGAGGGAUGAAAGCUGGGGGAGCAAACCGGAUUAGAUACCCGGGUAGUCCCAGCUGUAAACGAUGCAGACUCGGUGAUGGGCUGGCCUUGUGCCAACCCAGUGCCGCAGGGAAGCCGUUAAGUCUGCCGCCUGGGGAGUACGGUCGCAAGACUGAAAC
rnacentral:rRNA from 1 species